UACAGAGGAUGCAAGCGUUAUCCGGAAUGAUUGGGCGUAAAGCGUCUGUAGGUGGCUUUUUAAGUCCGCCGUCAAAUCCCAGGGCUCAACUCUGGACAGGCGGUGGAAACUACCAAGCUGGAGUACGGUAGGGGCAGAGGGAACUUCCGGUGGAGCGGUGAAAUGCGUUGAGAUCGGAAGGAACGCCCGUGGCGAAAGCGAGGCCCUGGACGGUUUCUGACGCUGAGACGCGAAAGCCAGGGGAGCGAACGGG
rnacentral:rRNA from 1 species